ensembl:snRNA U6 U6 spliceosomal RNA
GAUUGAUUCGGCAGCACAUAUACUAAAAUUGGAACGAUACAGAGAAGAUUAGUAUGGAUGCUGCACAAGGACUCCAUAUCUUUGCUGUUGUGAAUAGUGCU